UACAUGCUACGUACGUGGUACGCAGGUCGCAGGUAUUUAUCUGUAUGUAUUUGGCAUAUGUGCAGAUAUCGCGUACGGUAUAGAGAGUAGUACCGAUUUCUGUUUUUUCUCCAUGAAUCCGUGAAACUAGUAUACGAGAAGAGAAGAAUAUAUGUACGUAUCAGGGUGACAGUUUGAAACAAGUCGAUUCGAAAAUAAUUUUAUUGAGUUCGAACAAAAAAUUGGAUGACAUUCGGAAUUUUUGGCUCAACGUGAUUCGACGGGCAAGCUACGAAGUAGCCAAGCAUUAAGGCGUGACACGUAAAUAUUCAAAGCAUACACGGAAACUGUCAUGGCGGCUCUGGUCAUCCUCCAUCAACUAGGAACGAACAAACGAACGAUAACCACCGCAACCACGCAAGACGAGCGGGCGCCUCCGCGACCGCCAUCUUGCAAUCUGGUAAAUUUCAUUAACGGAUCGAGCGGAUUUUUGUGAAAAUACCUUCGAGAUCUUCGUUCGGGGUGUCACGCGACGUCUCGCAGUCUUGGAAAUCAGGUUUCGCACUGCUGGUACCAUCGUAACCGAUGCCGUCGACUUUUCGUCGUUUUGCUGGGGACGAAUAUUCUGGCACCUCCGAGCCCGACGCCAUUUUCCACAGCAAUGCAAUAUACACAGUUUGAUGCGCACCCGUUGCCACGACCGGGGUCGCUACUCUACAUAAUCGCUACGCCUCCCUCCUUCCGCGUCAAUGAUCUAUAGAUUAUGGAUCACCGCAGACGCCGACCGUUCCGUGUCCGCGUCAUUGUUGGUCAUUGUCAGUGGCAGAAUGGCAAUUAUGGCAGGUAAUAAACUACUUAGACCCAAGUUUCAACAAGAAAUUCAGUUGACCACACGAAAAAGGGACACUUGAUUUUAAAGAGGAUCCCAACGUUACCAAGGUAUUUAUUUGUGUUAAUUUACGACGUCCAUAUAUAAUACCUUACUAAAUUCAAAUAAAUGCUUUCGCUCUUGUUUGAAUUUCGAAUAAUUUCAAAUCAUUUGCUUGUGAAAAGCAUUUCUACAAUAUACUGAUAUAUACAAAAGUUUGAACAGGCCAGUCUGACCUGGCAGAGACAAAUGUGAUUAAUAAUCGUCAUUGAAGAAAUGUGGAAGAAAUUAAGAAGUAAUCAUGCUAGAUCAGAGAAUUCUGCAGGCGAGGUUACUGGACGAGGCGGAAAUAAUGAAAAUGAAGCGUUGCCGGAAACUGAUAAAAAUAAUAUUAAAUAGUAUUAAAUAAUUCCAGAACGAGCGCUGGUACGAUCAAUAGGAAAUUGAAUUUCACGAACGGAGGCGAAUUGCCGUGACGAAAAUGCAAAUAGCGAAGUAUAGAUGCGCGUGCGCGCGUCAAAUAAAUUUUCUCUUUAAAUAGACAUUAGAUUUUUUAACUCUGUAACUUGUUUAAAAGUGAAAUAAAGGUCUUGUUAAACAUGCA